rnacentral:rRNA from 1 species
CCUACGGGAGGCAGCAGUGGGGAAUAUUGGACAAUGGGCGAAAGCCUGAUCCAGCAAUGCCGCGUGAGUGAUGAAGGCCUUAGGGUUGUAAAGCUCUUUUACCCGGGAUGAUAAUGACAGUACCGGGAGAAUAAGCUCCGGCUAACUCCGUGCCAGCAGCCGCGGUAAUACGGAGGGAGCUAGCGUUAUUCGGAAUUACUGGGCGUAAAGCGCACGUAGGCGGCUUUGUAAGUUAGAGGUGAAAGCCUGGAGCUCAACUCCAGAAUUGCCUUUAAGACUGCAUCGCUUGAAUCCAGGAGAGGUGAGUGGAAUUCCGAUUGUAGAGGUAAAAUUCGUAGAUAUUCGGAAGAACACCAGUGGCGAAGGCGGCUCACGGGACUGGAAUUGACGCUGAGGUGCGAAAGCGUGGGGAGCAAACAGGUUAAGAUCCCCCUGUAGU